rnacentral:lncRNA from 1 species
GGUUGAGAUCUUCAGUAUCUUUAGAAUCUUUAGAGUCUUCAGAAUCCUCAGUCAAAACCUUAAUAACUUCAAUCGUCUGGUUUGAGAUCUUCCGAAUCUUCAAUUACACAACACAACUUCAUAAGCUUGCCAUUCGUCAGAAGUUUGGUGAUCAGAGCCACGUCCAGUAGCAUGAACUAUGAGAACAUUACAGCAGCAACAUAGUCUCUCCUCAUAAGCUUCUGAUGAGUGAGACAACACAGAAGCAGAAAGACAUUGCAGUAGAAAUAUUGACGUCUUUCAGAACAUCUAAUAAUUGGCGCAAAAGCAUAUUUGGAACACGUAGUUCAGAAAUUGAUGACGUUGCACAUCAUAUAUCCAUAAUCAGAACUGGUUGUUAAAGCUACACAAUAAUAAACCAUUAGGGUACCAAAAUUGUUCUCACACAAAUACAAUAUUGUUAUCAUCAAAACUCAAGGUAUAGAUGCAUAACCAAAUCUUGUGCUAACAAUCUCCCCCUUUUUGAUGAUGACAAAACAUGUAUUUUGAUGAACAUUUUUGUACAUGAUAAUCAUAGAAUAAUACAUCUUACAAAAUCACAAAGCUCCCCAUGAGAUGUAGAAUCCUAUAAAGAUAAAAUCAGAAUGAAAGAACACUUUCCUGAUUAACCUUUUUGAAAUACCAGAGUGAAUAUUCUGUCAGAAUUUGGUUUAUCUUCAGAAGUUAAUUGAUGUUGUCCAAAGCACUGGUUUGAUGACAUUAUCAUUCUGAUAGGCUUCACUUCAGAAGAUUCCUUGAAUUCUUUAGAAGAAAGUUUAAAACUGGUUAUCUUCUUUAAAAGAGCAGGUUUUCUUAUUAGAACCUUGACUUUUCAAGUCUAAUUACUAUAGAAGAAAAUAUCUCUUAGCUGGAUUCCAAAUCCAUGAUUAUCAGAAAGAACAUAUUCUGAACCAUUCUAAUUCUUGAGGAAUGACCCUACAAAACACUCAACAAACUAUUAUUUGAAGUAGUUGUUAGCAGAAAGCAUUAAUCAAUGUUUGGGUUUUUAAUUAAGGAAAUUAUAUAUAAAAAUAAACACUAAUUCUUCCCCUUUAGAAUGUUAUGUUUUCUCCCCCUUCGUCAUCAAUCAAAAAGACAUAAGACAAAAAAUAAAUGAAGAGAAACAAACAUUUUUCAUUGAAAAAUUGCCACAGAAGCUUCAGAGACGACAAUCUGAGUAACAACUUCUUCCAUAGCACAAUCUUGAGGUUCAAAAGCAACAUCAACUUCUGGAGCAGACUCAAGGUGUUGAGCAAUCUCUAUUUCUGGAGCAGCUGGAGCAGCUUCUUCUUCCAUAACCUCAGGAGUCGCUUCCUUGAUUUCUGGAGCAGGAAGACAAAGUUGGGAGUUUCUUAACUUCUAGAGUUCCAUUAAGGGAAUGAAACCAUAACAUAAUUUUACUUCAACAAGAGUGUACCCAAAAUCCUUCAACUUAGAAAUCUUGGAGUUCAUCCAGCUUCUGUAAGCUUCCCAUGUUGAAUCACUAGCAGUCGGAUUUUCUGAAGAACGACUGACAGUCAUUGCUUCAUGCAAACGGAUUUUAGAUUCUGACUCAAAUUUCCUCAGAACCUUACCAAAGUUAGAGGAGGAUUUUUUUGGUUGUUUGGGGUAUUUAACUGUAAGUUUGAUUUUAGACUCAUCAAAGUCAGGACAAAAUACAGAAGGAAAUCAUGGGACAAUAAUGGAAAGUGAUUCAUGAUCAGGAGACGUUGGUUCGGGUUCAAAUUUAAACACUCCUUCAGGAGUUCCAUCAGAAACGUGUCCAUCUGAAACUCUUGAGAGAGAUGUUCUGGGGGUUAUUAUAUUUGGAUUUGUUGGUUUGGAAGCAGAAAUACAUGGUGGUGAGAUGGGUGAAUUUUGUAACUGUGGAGGAGAUGGUGGUGGUGGUAUUUGUUGUUGUUCUGACAAAGGUUCAGAAACUAAAGGAGUUUCUAUGAUUGAAAUGAUAAAGGUUGAUUGAGGUGGUGAAAGUGGGAUAGGUUCAGAAACUAUUGGUUGAAAUGAAGGAUGAGGUUGGAUUGGUAAGAUCCUUUCAAAAAGAAUUGAAUCGAAAUUAAAUUGAGUGUUAUAAGAAGGAAGCUUACCAGAUGUUACAUCAUAAGCUCUUGAAGAAGACUGUACGACUCCAGAAGUAUCCUUCAAAAUCAUUGCCUUCUUGCGCUCACUUAGAGGCACCUCGUCUUCAUCCAGAAAGACAACAAUCUUCUUCUUCUGAGCCCUAGAAGAUCCUUCGCCUUUAAAUUCCUCCUUUCCCUUCCCACGAGCAUUAGGGCAAGUCUCAGGAAGGUUGAAUGGAUCCACCAAUAGGCCAAGUCCAUCCUUCAGACAGCUUUCCAGAUAUGCCAUCAGAACCUGCGGAGGGUCGACCUUGGUGAAGAUUGGGUAGUCAUCUAUAUGAUUUCUUGUACCACAAAUAUCAUCCUUAGAAAGAAUUAAAUUUGGUCUUUGAUUUCUAGAUAUGAGCCCCAUACACUUCAGAUUCUUUCCCUAGAAUACCUUUCCAACAUCCUUCACCAGUUCUUCUGUCAAUCCACUAACUAGAAGGUCAUCUAUUAAACCAUUUUCCACAAGAAUGUCAGACAUUAGUAUGUCGUUAGGAAUGAAAAUUCUCUUUGUCUUCUUAGAAGAACCACCAGUUCUGGAUUCUCGGAUAGAACCCCUCAUGAACUUGAACAAAAUGGAAGGAAGUCCCAGCUUGACACCCUUCUCCAAACAAAAUAACAUGAACUUCUGAUGAGUGUUGAUGUAGUCAGGCCUAUUUAUGCUAGGCCUGUGGUAAAUACAACCCAAAAUAAUCUUGAACCAAACUCUUAGAUUCCUAGUCAAGUCAUUAGCACUAGGACCUUUGUCAUCUUCAAAGUUUGUUUCAUCCUUGAAGAUAGCUGGAGAAAUGGCAGCUUCUCUCUUAGUGGUGAUCUUAGCACUGCGUAUCCUUUUCCCUUUACCAUCAUGAGAGAUAAGAUUAACUAUGGACUUCUCAAUAAUAACUAUUUUCCAAUUCAUGACAUAGUAAGAAAUAGUUUCCUUUUCAACAGUUGCAUGCACCCAAAACUGCUUAACGAGAACUGGAUAAAUUGGGCUUGUGAGUCUCUCGAAGAAUGUUUUCUAACCUUGAAGUUCCAAGGUUUCAGUGAAAUCAAAACCGUUUUCCUUUAAAAAUUUUAAAUCAAUGAUGGUUUCGCAUAACACCAUUAACUCGUUGACAGGAGUAUGAAUAGUCAAUUCAGAUAUCCCUUUCAAGGUGGGGCUAUUUUCAGUUACCUUUGAAGAACUUGAAGAGUAUUGUUGUUGUUUAGCCAUUUGAAGAAGAUAAAGAUGAAGAACAGUUACAGAGAGAAAGGGUUAUUUUUAGGUUUGAAAAUUGAAAGUGUGGGAGUAAUGUGCGCGUAGUGUGAAAAUGUGAGUGAAGUGGGUUUAUAUAGAAAAUUUUGCAAUGAUGACAAAAAGGGAAUAUGCAGUCAUAGGGGGAAGCGUAAGAGUUUAAACCUAAUUCCAAGAAUCGUUAAACCCAAUGUGUCACGCUUUUAUCAUGCAUUCUCAAAAAUUGGGACAAUCGUCGCCACUAAGAACCACAUGAAAUCAAACGACAAGACAACCAUUUAAUGCAGCAACUGUUCAGAAUCAUGAAAACAAAUCAAUAAGAUUGUUUUUGAUAAUAACCUUUCUGAUUCAUGAAAACUUUGUUACUUCAGAAAGCUCAUGUUUCAUAGUCAAAAAGAAUAACACUCUCAGAAUCUAAUCUAGAGUUCUGAAGACUUAAACAUUCUAAAUACAUCUUUUCAUUCUGGACAUAAUUUCAUAAAUAAGUUUUUCAGAAUGAACACGAAUCUAUCUUUGGCAAGGGGUGUCGUAAAGAUAUAAGCCCAUUGAUGAUCUGUAUCAGCAAAUUUUAAAAUUUAAAUUUCCUUCUGAACAUAGUCACGUAAAAAGUGAUGUUUUAUUUCAAUAUGCUUAGCCCUAUAAUGCAAGAUAUGAUUCUUAGAAAAACAAAUAGUAAAGAUAUAACCCCAUUGAUGGUCUGUAUCAACAAAUUUUAAAUGAAAAUUUUCCUUCUGAACAUAGUCAUGUAAAAAGUGAUGUUUUAUUUCAAUAUGCUUAGCCCUAGAAUGCAAGAUAUGAUUCUUAAAAAAACAAAUAGAAGAAGUAUUAUCAUAGAGAAUAAGAAUGUUACUCUCAGAUAUCUGAUAAUCUUCCAGGUGAAUCUUCAUCAAGAGUAUCUGAGUGUUGCAUCUAGAAGUUGAAAUGUAUUCAACUUCGGCAAUUGAACGUGCAAUUGUUGUCUGUCUCUUACUGGACCAUGAGAUCAAGUUAUCUCCUAGAAAUUGGAAACUUCCAGAAGUACUUUUUAUUUCAAUUCUGUCUCCAGCAUAGUCAACGUCAUAAUAGCCUACUAAUUUACACCCACUUGAUUCCCAGAAAGAACUUAAGUUCUCCCAUCAGACUCAUUUCAAAUUUUAUCUGCAUAGACUUAACAAAAUCCAUGCACAACAAUGCAUUAGCAUAACCAAAAAUAAUAUCAUCAACAUAAAUUUGCACAACCAAAAUAUAAUUCUUAAAGGGUUUGCAAAAGAGAGUUGUGUCCAUUUUCCCUCCGGUAAAAUCAUUUUCCAAAAGAAAGUUGCUUAGUCUAUCAUACCAAGCUCUAGGAGCUUGCUUCAGACCAAACAAAUAUUUUUUCAGUUUAAAAACAAAAUCAGGAUUUUGAGAACUUUCAAAACCAUGAGGUUGACGCACAUAUACUUCUUCAGAAAUAUAUCCAUUCAGGAAUGCACUCUUAACAUCCAUGUGAUAAAGGAUGAUGUUAUGAUUGACUGCAAAAGAAAUUAAAAGAUAAAUAGACUAUAACUUGGAAAUUGGAGCAAAGGUUUUUGUAGAGUUUAUACCUUCUUGCUGACUAUAACCUAGUGCUACCAUUUGAGAUUUAUUUCUGACAACCUCGGUUUUCUCAUUCAGCUUGUUUCUGAAGACCCAUCUGGUUCCAAUGACAUGGAAACCCUUUGGCUUCUGAACAAGAUCCCAAACAUCAUUUUUGGUGAAUUGAUUCAAUUCUUCUUCCAUAGCCAAAAUCCAUUCAUUAUCCAGAAGAGCUUCAUCAAUUGAUGUGGGUUCUAUCAGAGACACCAAAAUGUUACCAAUGGCUCCAGAGCCAGUGAUCUUUCCGUUCUGGUUUCCUCCGAAACCAACUAAGCCUCCAGGCUUAAGUUCCAAGUCUUGGAACAUAAGCCUUCUAUCUGUCAUAUGUCGCAAGUAUCCACUCUCCAGGUACCAUGAUUGGUGUUUCAGCUGAGCUGUUAAGGAUGUCUGCAACAUAAAUUAUUUUAUCCUUAGGUACCCACUUUUUGGGUCCUCUUUUGUUAGUUUUUCCAGAGUUUCUUACAACUUUGGGUCUUUUAGCAGAAGGAUAAUCAUGAGAUAUUUGUGCAUGAUACUUAGGUUUCAGAACAAAGUUCUUAUCCUUAGUAUGCUUCUGUGUCUGUGCAGAAGUAUCAAGCUCAAUGCUAGCAGGCAUGAAAUGCACAUAGAGAGGUUUUGGUUUGACCUUCUGACUUUCGUCAAGUUUUAUAGAUUUUGUACAACCUAAACCUUUCCUUCCAUUUCUGCUAACUCCAUAGAUCAAGGAAGCCAUUUUGCUUCUAUUUAUGCUUUUAUCCAAAAAGUACUGGAAUGCUCUGUCGUAUCUGAUGAUGCAAUCAGUAUCAGACGCUUCUGAAAUUAUUUCCUCCUCUAGUUUUUAAAUUUUGCUUUUCAAAGCAGAGUUGUUACUUUCUAAAGAAAAUACCUUUUCAUUUAGAGAGGAAAUAUCUUUCUCAAGCUCUAUCUGAGUUUCAGAAGUAAUUGCUUGGAAUUAUUUAAGGUCCUUGUAUUUACUCUGAAGACUCUGGCACUUUUCCAGUAUUUUAGAAAGACGUGAUUCAAUAUUAGAACGAGAUAGGUUAGAAAAUACCUCUUCAGAAUUGGAGUCAGAUUUUGAUUCUGAUAAUACCUUGUCUUCUGGUUCUUCAAAGCUUGUGGGAUCCUUUGUGGUUUCCAUAAGUCAACAUUGGCUUUUUCUUUGUCAGAAUCUUCUUCUUCAGAUUCUGAGUCAUCCCAGGUAGCCAUCAUCCCCUUCUUAACGUUGGAGAAGUUCUUUUUGGGCCUUAUGUCCUUCUUCAGCUUUGGAUAAACAUUUUUAUAGUGGUCUGGCUCCUUGCACUUGAAGCAUAUAACUUCUUUUCUAGAACCUUGCUUCUUUUGUCCAGAAGAAGAAUCGAAGCGACCAACAGUCCUUCUGACUCCUCUGAACUUCCCUUGACCAUUUUGUCUAUGUUUCCAGAGUCUGUAGACUCUCUUUGAGAUUAGAGACAGUCCAUCAUCAUCAUCUGAGUCUUCAUCAGAUCCUUUUAAUUCUUCCUUAGCUUGAUAGGCUCUUGUCUUCUCAGGCUUAGAUUUUAGAGCAACAGGUUUACCUCACUUUUGAGGUUCAUCUUCUUCUAUCUCAAUCUCAUGACUUCUUAAAGAACUAACAAUUUCUUCAAGACUGAUGUUGUUUAGAUCCUUUGUCAGCUUCAAGGCAAUUACCAUAGGUCUCCAUUUUUGGGGAAGACUUCUGAUAAGUUUCUUGACAUGAUCAGUUGUAGAAUACCUUUUGUCCAUAAGUUUAAGUCUUGCGACAAGCAUCUAAAACCUUGAGAACAUAGUCUUUACUCUUUCAUCAUCUUCCAUUUUGAAUGCAUCAUAUUUCUGGAUUAAGGCCAAAGCCUUUGUCUCCUUUACUUGAGCAUUUCCUUCAUGAGUCAUCCUCAGAGAGUCAAAGAUAGAUUUGGCAGAAUCUCUGUUUGUUAUCUUCUCAUACUCCGUAACAGAUAGCAUUAAGAAAUAUGGUUUUGGCCUUAUGAUGAUUUUUAAAGUCUUUCUUCUGUUGAUCAGACAUAGCACUUCUUACUAAAGUAUUUCCUUCAGCAUUUACUGGGUGAACGUAACCAUCGACUACAAGAUCUAGAGAUCAACAUCAUAACCAAGAAAGAAACUUUAUAUUUUGUCUUUCCAAUAGUCAAAUUUCUCACCAUAAGAAAUAAGUGGUUUUGCAUUGUAAUGAUCUCUAUCAUUAUUAACAAUGUUAGCAACAGUCAUUGUUUCUCACAACUGGAUCGGUACUGAACAUUGUGAGGUGUUGAUAAUUUUUUUAUCACAAUCAGAACUAGAGCUCUGAUACCAAUUGAAGGUGUGAAAACACAAGAAAGGGGGGGGGGGUUGAAUUGGGUUUUAAGAGCAAAAGAUUUUUCCAAAACAAGAACACCACUAACAAGUUAAUAACAAAGAGAUAAAAACAGAAGCAUUUUUAUCCUGGUUCGCUUGAAACUCAAAGUUAAUCCAGUCCAUACGCCAAGGUGAUUUUUCCUUAUACACAAGGACUUAAUCCACUAUAAUCAACAGAUUACAACAAACACAAAGAAUAACCUUCUUUGUCUUCUCAAGGAUCCAACUAAACCUUAGUCUUCUUAAGGACUCACAAAGAACAACUUUCUUUGUCUUCUCAAGGAUAACCUCCUUAAGGAAUCAAACAAAUAGUUUGAAUAAUAUUUUGUGUUACAAGAUACUUCUACACAAGCAGAUUUUACACAAAUGAAUAACAAACACUUAAAGAAAAAUUGUAUACAAAAGAAUGAUAGAUUUUCACAAAGAAAAUAACUUGUCAAAAUAUUUGUGUAACCGGUGUUUUUCUUCAAGUCUCCAAGUCAUACAUAUAUAGCAUAAGCAUAAUACCGUUAGAGGGCAAAAUGGGGAAAGCUCAUUUGAGCGACUGUCCACUGUGUUGGUGUAAGCCCUAGAGGCCAAUACUUUUGGUACUUGUAUCGAAUUAUUUAUUAAUAAUAAAAGGCUUUUUCUUUAUUACGUUUGUUUAAUAAAGUCCCUAGAAUAGCUAGUCUGUUAUGUACCAAGUAUGACUUAUCAUGAGAUCACAUUAAACAUAAGGACACUAUUCUUAAAGUAUCCGUAGUCGAGCUUUAGUGUGAAGUGGAAACAUUGAAGCAUUAAGACUAUUAUGUUUGUAGACUGAUGAUCCACAUCUCAUGGAUCAUGGAUAAAGAGUUAUCAAGUCUUAAACAUAGGUAUGAAUAUUAAGAGUAAAUUUGUACCGGAUUGACCCGCUAUGAGAAUACUAAUUAGAAAGUUAUGCAAGGUGUCAUAAGUUAUUCUCAUGGUGAAAUAGUGUAUUCCACUCUUCGACUGAAACCACUAUGGAUCCUAGAUGUAGAGUCGAGUGCUUUAUUGCUGAUCCACGUUGUCCGUAACUAGAUAACCAUAAGACCAGUUAAUGGGUACUCCACAAAGCAUGCUGAGGGACAUGAGUGUCCUAGAUGGAAUUUGCCCAUCCUGCGUAACAGGAUAAAUGUCUAUGGGCCCAAUAUUGAACUGAACAAGGAUGACACUGGUCUAUGCCUUGUGUUCAAUAUAGACAUAGGGCAAAAGGGUAAUUAUACACAUAAUUAUUAUCACAGAAAGGUUUUGUCAGAUCACAUGACAUUUUCGUGUCUUGGGUAAGGCAGAUGUGUUGCUAGAUUACCGCUCACUGUUAUUAUAUUAAAUGUGUGAUUUAGUAUAAUUGCCAACGUCACGAAAACCUACAGGGUCACACACAAAGGACGGAUUGAUGAGAGAUAGAGUAACUAAGGAAUACCGUAAGGUACGGGCCCUUAAGUGAGUUAUAGAACAUCGUAAGGUACGGUGUCUUGAGUAGAAAACGAAUAUGGUAAGGUACCAUGAGCUUAAGUGAUUUUGGGCAUGUUAUAAGAUAUGGGCCAAAAUACACUUAAAGUGGGCUUUUAGCUUGAAGCCCACACAAGUGGUUCUAUAAAUAGAACCCUUGUGCAGAAGCAAAAAUUUGCGGUUGCAUUAUUUUCGUUCUAUCACUUUUCUCUCUCUCACUCAAAGCCUUCAUUCGUACCAGCUAGCACAGCGAGAUUGAAGGAACCGUUCUUGUGGACUGAGUAGAGACGUUGUCAUCGUUCAACGUUCGUGAUCGCUUCGGGAUUUGCAUCAAAGGUUUUGAUCGUCACAAGAGACUGCACCAAAGGUUUCUACCGUCACAAGAGGUAAAUAUUCUAUCACUAAUCAUGACCAUUCGUAAGGAUCUCUAAAGGAGAAAAUUUAAAUUCUCGCUGUGCUUUGGGUCGCAAUUCUCCUUCAGUGGUAUCAGAGCCACUACAAACCAUGACUCGGAUAGCUGUUUACUUUCUGUAUAAUAUGAUUAAAAGACAGAAUGAAUCAUUAAUUAAACGAGUAAUUAAAUUUGGCAUCAUGAGUGUACGAGUUGGAUGAUUGAUGUUGACUAUGCUUCGGAAUCCGACAUUAGUAUGGUGAAGCAGCGAUAAUCGAUCAUCCAUAGGUUACGCAAUUGAGACCGAUCAACUUAUAUAUGAUAAGUAAUCCUAAUGCAAAAUACGGUAUAAUGUGAUAUACUGUUUCUGUUUCGUUCAUUCGAACACUAAAUGAUGUUUUCCUUUGAGCGAUCAAUGGCAUUUGCUUCGAAUCCGACAUUAGUAUGGUGAAGCAAUGACCUGUGAUCAAUCAUAUUGAAUCAACAAUCGAGGUUGUUUGACGGUCUGAAAUUGGCGCAUUAGGUUGGGACGGCACAAGGGUUGUGCGUCAAGGAGUUGUGAAUUUAGGGCUUUUUUUGGAAGAGGUCCGUAGACUGUUUCAAAAGUCCUAUUAGUUUGGCCGCGUGAAGCUCGUGUGCGAGCGUAACAGGCGUAACAAACUGGAUGCGUGACGGUCGUAACAACCACCAUGACGGUCGUCACACUCACAUUGCCUGUGACGGUCGUCACACCGCUGUGAGCGGUCGUCACACUCCAGAGUCAAAUAUUUGGGGUUCCUGUUUUGUGACUACGCCAAGGGUGUGUCAUGCAAAACAAUGUUCCAUUUCAAUGAAUUGUUCAUUAAAAAUUUGGACAGGGGCGCUGCCCUCCAACCCCGCAAGGGCGCUGCCCCUUGACCCCGUCCGCUGACGGGCAGCGGGACCCCCGGCUAACUCUGCGUAGUGAUCGGUCGCCGAAAUUUAAUUUGGUUUUAAUUAAUUAAAGGAAUUAAAAUUUAAUAAUAACAAUGUGUUUAUUAUUAUUGCCUUGUGGUGAUCAGUUAUGGCCUUAGUUGUUCUUAUUUUUUUGGGUUUUUAAAUACGACCUGCGUGUCGUGCCUCUCCUUUUGAUCUCUUCAUGUAAUUCUUUUCUCAUCUCCCCUCGUAUGUAAAACGAGUUUCUCUGUAAUGUAAUGAUAUGAAGAAAGAAAGAAUUCAUAUCAAAGGAAGAAAGAGAAGAAAUUCAAUAUCAAAGGAGAAUAAUGAUAUGAGAAAGAGAAAGAAUUCAAUAUCAAUGGAGGACAACCCUUGAAUGAUCUUGCUUGGAGAAGCUUAGAUCGUUAUAGGUUAGCUUAGGUUCUCUCAUUGGCUUGGGAGAACAAUUGCGCUAGGCAUAACUGUUUCAUUUGUUUGUAUGUAUGUUGAUGCAUGUUGAUGUAUGUUGACUGCAUGUGAGAGACAAUUUAUAUGAAAAACAACAAGCCGGUGAGAUCAUAACAAUUGCAAUUCCCUCAAACUAAAAAUAUUAAGUUUAUGCUUUCCAAGUUUUUUAGCACUCAUCAAGACUAGUAUCCGGAUAAUGUAGUUUCGCCAAAGCGAGGUGCAUGUUCUAUAUUAGUAAGGUGCGAUGGGGAUAAUUGUAAUAUCCAACUGCAAAACAAUGGUCAAACUUAACUAAACAAUUAUGAUGAUAUUAUAGUUGUUUGUCUUUCCAAGUUUUAGCACAUCAAGACUAGUAUCGGAUAAUGUAGGUUCGCCAAAGCGAGGUGCAUGUCCUAUAUUAGUAAGGUGCGAUGGAAUAAUUGUAAUAUCAACUGCUAAGACAAUGGGUCAAACUUAAUUAUAAUAUAUCAUAUAUGUUUUAGAAGCAUGAGUUGGGAAUAAUCAUAUGAAUGGAUUGGAAAUAAGGAUAUUCAUCACCCAACUGAAAUUUUCGAGAGUUGUAUGAGAUACAACUAGAAGGAGUUCCUACCUAAUACCUAGUUUUUGUGUAAUCCGUUACGCUGGACUUAGAACGAAGUGAACAUAUGGAUCUCGACCUCACUAGAAAAUCUUCAACGGAUUUUCCGAAUCAAAUGAUGAGGGUCAUUUGUUUUGAGUAAAAUAGUGGAGCAUAUUUUGUUAAAGGCCCUAAUUAAAAUAUGUCAUGAAUACUUAUAUAUUCUUAUUCUUAUGUAGAUUACCAUGACAACAAAACCUCUAACAACAUCUUGCGAUCAAUUCCUUGACAAGGAAAUAUUGUCCUGGGACAAAUAUUCCUGGAUUGGCACCGCGAACCUGAGGACUGUCCUCAAACAUGAUAUAAAAGCUGUAUUGUCUUGGAGACUCCUGUUCUCGAAGAGGAAACCUCCUAGUUAUGCACCUAAGGCAGAAAGAAUGCUUAUAGAAGCAUUCGAGAUGCCAAUGAAAACUGCUUGUCUCAUGCUAGCUACCAUGGAACUCUCAGAAUUGCAAGCAACUAUAGAACAUGUCAGCGUUCGAUAUGAUCGAACACACUGAGUUGCCUAUUCAAGAGCAAGCAAGGCAUGAAAGGUUUUGAGUUUCAAAAGCCCUUUUUCAAGCAGUAUAGCUGAGGGAGCCUUAAGUCCGCCAUUGCUCAAGAUGAAUUGGUAUGUUGGAAAACCUUGAAAGGUUGGUUUUCCCUCGGAAAGGAACUUGCGACUGAUUUGAUCUUGUCAUCGUUGUCAGAUAGAUUCAGUCAAUUUGUCCUAAAUUUCAAUAUGAAUGAUAUGGAAUAAAUCUCUUUCCUGGACUGCUAGGCCAGUUAGAAUAGCUGAACAGGAACUGAAGACAAAGGGAAGUCAUUCUGUGAUCAGAUGGAAGAGCAGAACAAAAGCGCCACCAAGCGGUGAAUAUAAGGGAAAGGCAAGGAAGUUGCCCAACCCAGACCCACUGUUGCUGCUUGAAGCUACUGGAGGCAAGCAAAGCAGGCACCCUCUGCUUCCUUGCGGCUAAGACCCGACACUGGAGAGAGAAAUCCAAAGACUGGAAGAAACGAAAAUGGGAGGUAGAGACUCAACUCCUCAGAUUUUUGUUAUUGAAAUAAGUCUAUUCUACCUUCUCAUCAUGGAAUUUAGAUAUCUGGAUGCGUCUCACAUUGUACAAAAUGUGCAGGGGCUAAAAAGAAGUAGAGAUUUGGCAAAGGUGAAGUGGUGACCUACAGUUGGCAAGAGCCAAAGGUUGCUGCUUUAGCCGUAGGAAACUUAAUGUAUAACUUACCUAGUGGUUUAAUAAUUCAGUUAGAGAACUGUUAUUAUGUACCUGCAAUGUAGCAGGAGUAUAUUCCAUUUCUUGUUUGGACAAGUUUGGUUUUUUCAUAAUAAUAAAGAACAACUGUUGCUCAAUUUAAUUUGAAGUGAUAUAUUCUAUGCUACUGCACAAAUGAGCAAUGGACUGUAUGUCCUUGAUUCUCAGAAUAUGCCUAUAUAUAACCAUUAAUAUAAAGGAUGAAACCUAACGAGUUAAAUCCAACUUACCUUUGCAUUGUCGAUUAGGCCACAUAAAUGUAAAACGCAUUUCCAAACUCCAUAAAGUAUGGACCUUGGCCUUUUGAUUUAUGAAUCCUAUGAGAACUGCAGAUCUUGUUUAAUUGGAAGAUGAAAAUGUCUCCCAUUCACAGGAAAAGGUGAAUGAAGCUAAUGAAUCUUUGGCCGCUCAUAAUACUGAAUGUAGUGUGGACCACUGAACAUCGGCGCAGAGGAAGUUUUCAGUACUUCAUCACUCACUGAUGAUGUCGUAGAUAUGGGUUAUUGUGUAUUUAAGUGAAACACAAUCAGAGUUCCUUUGAAAAGUUCAAGGAAUCAGCAUGCCUAGUACAAACCAACUAGGUAAGAAUAUUAAAACUCUCGAUCAGAUCGAGGUGGUGAGUAAUUUAAGCCUAAGAGUUGAUGACCAUACAUGCUGAAAGAUGUGUGGGAUCCUAUCCAGACUUACUCCUCCUGGAACACCCCAAAUGGAAUGGUGUAUCUGAGAGAAUAAAUCGAACCCUGUUAUACAUGGUCGAUCCAUCGAUGAGUUCACGCCGAUCUUCCAAACUCCUUUUGGGACAGCACUUAUUGACAAGCAGCUUACUACACUUAACGCGUGUUCCAUCCAAAAAGGUUGAGAAGAACACCAUAGUGAGAUAUGGAGUGAUAAGAAACAAUAUGUCCUUAACAUGAAAGAUUUGGGUUGCGAGGUUUUAUGUGAACGACAAAUUUUCAAACUAAGCUUUGAGCCCGAAAUCUGACAAAUGCUUAUUUGUGGGGUAAAUCCUAAAGAAACAAAAGGGUAUUACUUCUUACAGGAUCCUUCUGAGGCAAGAGUGUUUUUGUCGCUCGAACGUGGAGUUUCCUAGAAAAGGAUUUUAUGUUUCAAAGGAACCAGUGGGAGGAAGUAGAGCUGAAGAAUUCAAGAAUCACAAAGCAUAGAUACACCUAUGAGGAAUUAGAGCAGGAAAACACAAGAAUUGUGGAAGAGCAACCUGCUCAAGUAGAACGAGACCGAGCGUAGGUCAAGCAGGAUACGUCAACUACCUGAGAGAUAUGGAUUAUGCUCAUAACUCCUCAAGCGGUUGAAUGUAUUACUCAUCAGAUCAAGAUGAGCCUCGUGACUACCAAGAGGCCAAUAGAUGGUCCGAGUCUGAGAAGUGGCUAGAAGCCAUGAAUCUGAAAUGGAUCCCAUGUACACAAACCAAUUUGGGAACGCUUGGUAGAGCCUCCUGUAGGAGUUAACCCUAUAGGAAUGCAAGUGGGUCUUCAAAAAAGAAGACUGACAUGACGGUAAGGUAAAUACCUAUACAGGCAAGACUGGUUGCAAAAGGAUAAAUUAAACAAAUUCAUGGGAUUCGACUAUGGAUGAAACCUUUUCACCAGGUUGAAAAUGCUUAAAUUGUUCGGUUACUGUGGCUAUGCGUUGCAUAUCAUCGCCUUAUGAAAUAUGGCAGAUGGCUGUCAAAACCUGCUUCCUUAAUGGAAAUCCUUCCUUGAGGAGUGUACGAAUGACACAGCCUGUAAAGAUUUGACAUAGCCAGAGGAAGCCCAAAAGAUACUGUAAGUUACAAAAGAUCAACUCUAUUGGAUUGGAAGCAAGCUUCCAGAAGCUGGAAUCUUCGUUUUGAUGAAACAGUAAAACAAUAUGGAUUCAUCAAGAACGAAGAUGAGCCCUUGUGUCUAAAGAAGUUAGUGGGAGCAUGAUCGUUUCACUGGUAAUUAUAUGGUAGAUGACAUACUUACUCAUGUGGAAACGAUAUCCCUACCCUACAACAUAAAGUCCUUGGUUAGGGAAGUGCCUUUCUAUGAAGGACCUAGGUAAGCAGCCAAAUAUUAGGAAUCAGAAUCUAUAGAGAUUAGACGACAAAAACUGCUUGCUUAAGUCAGAGUACAUACAUAGACAAAGUGUGAGACGCCUUUAAUAUGCAUGAUUCCAAGAAAGGUUCAUACCUAUGCAACAUGUUCUGUGUCUACUCAAACACACAAUCCCCUUUAACUAAGGAAGAAAAGGAUCGCAUGAAUAAGAUUCCAUAUGCGAUCUGCAAAUAGGAUAUAUCACAAUGUAUGCAUGUUAUGGUACUCGACCAGAAUGUUCGUAUGCUUUGAGUGCAGAUCAGUAGGUACAUCGCUCCUGUGAUGCUCAUGGGUAGCAGUCAAGAAUAUACACCUUAAGUAUUUUAAGAAGGACUAAGGACUCAUCUUGAUAUAUGUGAGGUCAGGAAAGUUGGCUGUAUUGAUACACCGAUGCUAAUGCCUCCAGACAGAUAGGAUGACUUUAGAUCGCAAUCCUGGUUAUGUGUUUUGGUGAAAUGGUGGCGCUGUGAGCGUUUAAAAGUUCAAAGCAAGAUCAGUUGCUGAUUCUAACAUACCGAGGCGAGUAAUAUGCUGCCUCAAAUGCAGAAAAGGGAGUUGUUUGGGUCAAAAUCAAAAUUCAUUAGUUGAACUUGGCAUGAUUCCCUAGCAUUGUGGAUCCCAUUGGUCUCGUAUCAUGAUAACAGAUGGUGCUAGUCCGCACAAGCCAAGGAGCCUAGAUCUCACAAGAUCCAAACACAUACUUAGGCGUUAUCAAUCUCAUUCGAGAGAUAAUAGAAUAGAGGAGCAUGUGAAAAUUGCGCAGAGUACCUACAGAUUGACAAUAUUGCUGAUCCCACUGACAUAAGCCUUUGCGCAGGCAGAAGCAUGAUGGCCAUACAAGAAAUCUAUGGGUAUAUAAGGGUAUGCCUGAUUGCUUAGUGCUAGUGGGAGAUUGUUGGCUGAGCCUUAGAGGCCAAUUAUUUUUGGUACUUGUAUCGAAUUAUUUAUUAAUAAUAAAAGGCUUUUUCUUUAUUACGUUUGUUUAAUAAAGUCCCUAGAAUAGCUAGUCUGUUUAAUGUAUCAAGUAUGACUUAAUACAUGAGAUCACAUUAAACAUAAGGACUAUUUCUUAAAGUAUCCGUAGUCGAGCUUUAGUGUGAAGUGGGAUAACAUUGAAGCAUUAAGACUAUUAUGUUUGUAGACUGGAUGAUCACAUCUUCAUGGAUCAUGGAUAAGAGUUAUCAAGUCUCUUAAACAUAGGUAUGAAUAUUAAGAGUAAUAUUUGUACCGGAUUGACCCGCUAUGAGAAUACUAUAUAGAAAGUUAUGCAAGGUGUCAUAAGUUAUUUCUCAUGGUGAUAAUAGUGUAUUCCACUCUUCGACCUGAAACCACUAUGGAUCCUAGAUGUAGAGUCGAGUGCUUUAUUGCUUGAUCAACGUUGUCCGUAACUAGAUAACCAUAAAGACAGUUAAUGGUACUUCUCACAAAGCCAUGCUUGAGGACAUGAGGUGUCCUAGAUGGAAUUUGUCCAUCCUGCGUACAGGAUAAACAAUGUCUAUGGGCCAAAUUAUUGAAACGAGCUGAACAAGGAUGACACGGUUAUUGGUCUAAUGCUAUUGUGUUCAAAUUUUUGGAGUUUUGAUAUAGGAAACUAAUUGGAGGUGUUUAAUUGUCAAGAAGGAUGUAGAGAAUGUAUGGGGGAUUUUAGUUAUCAAACAAUAAAUAUAUGAUUUACAUCAGUCGCAGUUAAGACAAAGGAUAGAGGGCAAAAGGGUAAACAAAUUAUAUCACAUAAUUUUAUCACUAGAAAGGUUUUUGUCAGAUCAAUUCGACAUAUUUUCGUUCUUGGGUAACAGCAUGAUGUGUUGCAACCUAAGGGCUUCAGGAUGGUCGGAGCAGAGGUGUGGUUUGUUUAAUCUAUAUUUAUACAUGUGCGGUCGAAUCUUUAAUAGUAUGAUUUUUGCCCAAGCGUCAACGAAAAACCUAGCAGGGUGGCCCAGACAACACACAGGAACGGAUUGAUGAAAAGAAGAUAAGAAGUAAACUAAUGGAAUACCAGUAAGGUACGGUGCCAAAAAAGAUAUUAAGAACAUCGUAAGGUACGGUGUCCUGAGUAGAAUACCGAAAUAUGGUAAAGGUACCAUGACACAAGGCCCCCAGGAGCACACUAGUAUAAAAAAAAAAAUUUUUUUUUGGGCAUGUAUAAGAUAUGGGGCCAAAAUAAACACUAAGUGGCUUUUUUUUUUUAGCUUGAAGCCCACUACAAGUGGUUGCUAUAAAUAGAACCCUUGUGCAGAAGUAUAAGAAAUUGCUGGUUGCAUUAUUUUCGUUUUCUAUCACUCUUCUUCUCUCUCACUCAAAGCCUUCACAUCGUACAGCUAGCACUGAGAUUGAAGGACCCGUCGUGUGGACUGAGUACAGACCGUUGUCAUCGUCAACGUUCGUGAUCUGCUUCGUGGAUUUGCAUCAAAGGUUGUGAAUCGCACAAGAGACUGCAAACAAAGGUUUCAACCGUCACAAGAGGUAAAUAUUCUAUCACUGAUCAUGACCAUUCGUAAGGAUCUCUAAAGGAGAAAAUUUUAAUUUCCGCUGCGCUUUGGGUCGCAAUUCUCCUUCACACUGUUGGAUGGGAAAGGAAUGAUAUUGCAUAUUGUCCUUUCGCCCAUAAAAUUAGUGACAAGUGUGAUAUAUAGUACUGUCCUUGCCCAUGAAUUUAGGUAGUGGAAAGGAUGUUCGUUUUGUACCAUGUACUAUUUGAUCACGUUCCCAUUUUGAUCUUAUCUUCAAAUUCAUUGGCUUAUGAUGAAAGUUGAUGAAGCAUGAAAUGAAUAAACAUAAACCUGGAUUUAGAAACUUCAGAAUCUUUGGUCAGAACCUUGAUAGCAUCAGUAGUCUGGCUUGAGAUCUUCAGUAUCUUUAGAGUCUUCAGAAUCCUCAGUCAGAACCUUGAUAACUUCAAUCGUCUGACUUGAGAUCUUCAGAAUCUUCAACUAUAUAACACAACUUCAUAAGCUUGUCAUUCUUCAGAAGUUUAAUGAUCAGAGUCACAUCCAGAAGCAUGAAUUGAGAGAAUAUUGCAGCAGCAACAUAAUGUCUCCUCAGAAGCUUCUGAUGAGUGAGACAACACAAAAGCAGAAAGAACAUUGCAGCAACAAUAUUUAUGUCUUUCAGAACUUCUAAUAGCCAACAUAGAAGCGGAUUUGGAACACAUAGUUCAGAAACUAAUGACGUUGCACAUCAUAUAUUCAGAAUCAGAACUGAUUGUUAAAGUUAAAUAAUAACAAACCAUUAGGGUACCAAAAUUGUUCUCACACAAAUACAAUAUUGUUAUCAUCAAAACUCAAGGUAUAGAUGUAGAACCAAAUCUUGUUCUAACAGAUGUCACCCUUCAUAUGUCUUGAGCAUCUACUAACGAGAACCUGUAUUCUCUUCAUAUAGCCAAGACAUUUAUCCUACAAGAUCGCCAAGAAAUGCUAGGUACCCAAUCUUCAUUGGGUCUUUGAGAGUUAGUGAAAGUAUGGUUGCAUUUGGGCAACCAUUGAAAAAAAAUUUAGGAACAAAGAGUCUCCUAAAUUUGCAUUUCUCAAUGGUGUGACCUCUCUUGCAACAAUAGUGACAAGAUAAAUUGUGAUGAGAUGUUCUUUUGCUAUUUGAAUCCUUUUGAAUAUAUCUAUACUUUUUAUGUGGAUGGUUCAAAGACCUUUUAAAUUUUGAGGGGUCAAUAGCAAAUAUAACAUUUGGUUGUAAUGCCUUGUCCAAUUUAGUUUUAAGAGUAUUAACCUCUUUUUGCCAAAUGUGACAAGUUUCACAACUGAAACAUGAAGGUUUUUCAUCCUCAUUCUUAUCCUUUUGAAUAUCUACCAUAGAUUGUUUAAGAGCUUCCAUUUUCUUUUUAGUUUCUAAAACUUUAGCUUCUGAGUGUGAAAAGAUUCUUUUGUUUAAAGCUAACUUUUUAAAAACGCACACGCCUUUUCUAUGUAGAUUUUCAAAAGCAUUUUAUAAUUGAGAAUAAGAUAUUAUAUUAAUAGAUUCGUGUUUAGAACGACUUACAUUCUUCUUCUUCUUUUGAUUGUCCAUGAAGCAAAUAUUUGUCGAUUCGUCACUACUACUUGAGCUUUCAUCACUUGAGGAUUCACUUUCCCUCUCCCAAGGAACGUAUGCUCUUAUGGACUUGCUAGACUUCUUGUAAUGGCCUUUCUCUUUGUCUGACUUAUAAUGACCGACUUUUCCACAACUGUAGCAUGAACCUCUAUGUUUACCCUUCUUAUUCUCACAUUCCUUUGAGGAGUUCGAUAGUCUUAUAAAGUUAAUUAGGUUCUUAUCAGAGUGCUUGACUCCAUUUUUCUCCAUGUACCUAUGGUACAUUUUGACGAACAACCUCAUUUCUUCAUCAUUAGAAUUCUCGUCAUUACUUGUUUCACAAUCACUUUGCUCAUUGGUUGAGGAUUUUAAACUUGAAGCCUUUAGAGAAAUAAACUUCUUUUUUACCUCUUUGUCCUUGUCUUUCUCCUUCUUUAUCUUCUUCUCGUUCUUUUUCUUAUGUUUUUCCAAGCAAAUGAGUUCUUACUCAUGUUCUUGUAGUUUGGGAAAUAAAGUUGUGAGGUCAAGUUUUCUAAGAUCAUUCGCUUCUUUGAUUGCGGUGACCUUAGGUUGUCAUUCCCUAUUAAGACACCUCAAAACUUUAUUAGUAGCAAUAUCAUUGGAAAUAUGCUUACCUAGAGCAUUCAAAUGAUUUAUAAGAUGUGUGAACCUCUUUUGCAUGUCAGCAAUGGUUUCACCAUGCUUCAUGCGAAAUAGUUCAAACUCUUUAGUUAAGGUAUUGAUCCUUGCUUGUUUGACUUCAUUAAUUCUCUCAUGGGUAACUUCUAAUGCAUCCCACAUAGCUUUGACAUUUUCAUAAUGGGAAACACGAUAAUAUUCAUCAACGCCAAGUGCGGGUAUGAGAAUAUUUUGUGCCCAAUCCAAAACUCUGUUCACUCAGACGGACGGACAUGUGUACGAUCACUCGGAGAUUCUGCAUUAAAGAUAGACACCACAAAUACCUCAACCAUUUGAAUCUAUUCAACUGGCUGUUAUAAUUAUCAUAUAUAUAUAUAUAAGUGUGACAUCAUGUCACAUUAAAGUACGAUUCAAUAUACUUUUACAAAUUAACACUACUUUGAUUUCACCGUCUUAUAAGUUUAAAUACUAACAUUGUAGAUACACAUUUUCCUAAUGACUCCAACCGCGACACUAAAAGUGUAAACUUCACCAUCACAUCAUUUUUUUUUCAAAAGAAAUAAAAGAGUUUUGAUUCCUACUUUGCAAUCCUUGCUCGAUGAAGUAACCAACCAAGGGAUUAAUGAUGACCCCACUUUAUCCCAAAGUCUCCAAUGUGGCAUGAUGUGAUUGAGUAACCAGCACAUCCACGAAAACGCAAUCCAAACCUAAUCUAUUCACAAGUAUUCAAUUUUUUCGUAGAAGUCAAUAAUAAUAAUAAUAAUAAUUGGAACACAAAAACUACCAUCACCACUAAGAUUCCUCACAUAUCUAUUCAGACCUCUUAGCAUUGCCAACACCGAAAUCACAUACUAGAAUGGCAACAACAACCUUUGCAACCGUCGUAGGAAUGGGUGGUGCAUCACGUCUCACCUCAGGUAUAUCUGUCAUUAAUUAAAACAUAAUUAAGCAUGUACCAUUUUUUUAUAUAUGUUUGUAUUUAUUUUAAUUGUGAUUUUCUUCCAGGAUUUGGGAAACCACAAGUAACUGCUAGGAAUCCUUUGAGGCAAGCUAUGGCGGUAGGAAAUGGUGGAAGAGUGACAUGGUAAUUUUUAUUAUAAGAUUGAUUUGUAAGGUUUUUAAACUGAAUUAUUUGAUCUCUAUGAAUAUUUAUUUUGAUGAUGAAAAAAAUGAAUUGUGAUAUUUUUUGUGGAUUGUGAUGUGAAGCUUCCAGAGGGAUUGGCUACGGAGGGAUUUCAAUGUGAUUGGGUUUGGGUUGAUAGGUUGGUUGGCACCGUCUAGCAUCCCGGCUAUUGACGGUAAAAGUCUGACUGGACUUUUCUUUGAUAGUAUUGGAACUGAACUUGCUCACUUCCCUACACCUCCAGCUCUUACUUCACAGUUUUGGUUAGUCAUUUCUUUCACAUAUUUUUGUAUUUAAUUCACUUGAUUCUCUGCUAUAUGCAAUCAUAGUUUCAAAUGAAAGUGGAAACAUAGAUGAGAAGUGAAGUAAUGAACAGGAAGGAAUUAGUUGGAGAUCUUCUAUACUUGUCCUUAGGUAUCCAACGGAUCAGGGACGGUUUUUAGUUCCCAUCCAAACCUGAAUUUCAAAAUAAUCUUCAACUCCCCAUUUUAUAAUUGAGAAAAACUCAAACUUUAACCUAAUUCAAUGAAAAUGGAUUUUUUUCAUAAAUUCGGGAUGGGACGGGAUAGGAUGGGUAUCCGGGAGAGUAUGAUUAUAUUGUCUUGCGUAUUAAAUCCUUAAAUCCAUUCAAAUUGAUUAGCUCAUGAGUCAUUUAGAAAAAUACUGAUAAAUAUAAAGCUUAAACCUUAUAAUAAAGAGCCCAAAUUUUAAAAGGUUAUUUCAGUCUGAUCUUAAAUAGCUCGUUAUCCAUUCAGGUCAGUAACAUGUAGCUAGCUCGUUUGAUUUGCAAACUAAAACUUAUAUUAUUAUUUAUGGCUGUUUCACAUUUCUUAAAAUUUUUAUUUUUUAAGAUAAUUAAGUUUUUCACAAAACUUCUUAAAUAAUUAUAUUUUUCUAUUAAUUUGAAGUAUUUAUUUUUUAAAUAAAAAAGAUUUACAACACAAAAUACAUAUUUAAUGACGACUACAUUAAAUAAAUAAAAAACAUAGUCAAUUGAAUUAACGGGUUAUUUGACGCAUUUGUACAAGAAAUAGGAAGGGUCGCCAAUUAAAUCAGUGACUAUGUGUUGAGUAUUUUUUUUAUUUUAAUCUAAUUAAUUAAUAAAUAAGUUUAAUAAAAACUAAUAAUAUUUAAAUUUAAAUCGAAUUAUACGAUAGUAUUGAGGAUAAAAUAUUUAAUGAAAAAACCAACUUAGCCAAUUUAAUAUACUAGGAACAUUUAGAAAAAUCAUCAAUGUCUUGGCUCAAUCAACUAGGUCACUCACUAAUAACUCCAUCAAUCCAAACAACAUAAUUCAACUAAUAACUCGUCAAUAGACACAAGACUACAUAAAAUUACAAGAAUUUAUUAGAUAAUUUGAUGAUAGGAUGUUCAGUGCAUAUUGAAAUGGUUAAGUUGCUUUUUCCAUUGAUUCGUCUUACCCUUAGUAAGUACACUCAAUAACAUGUAGAUGAUCUUUAAUGUUCUAGUACAUUCACCGAUUGGAAUAUAUAUUUAUAUGUUAAAUAUAUAUACAUUAAUAUUAUCAAAAUAAAUUUAAUUAUUUUAUGUUAGAAUUUAAAUUUUAAUGAAAAAAGUUAAUAAAGAGUUAGGUUCACAAUGAUAAAAAAAAAAUGAGUUCAAACUCUAUAAGUUCAUAUAUGCCAGCUUUAUAAGUCCGUCAUUAGCCUAAUAAAAAAGAAUCACAUCAUAGUUCAUUUCGUCUUUUUUUAUAGAUUUUUAAGUUUAGUUUGUUAAUAAAUAUUAAAAGGUGCUUAAUUUAAUUUUAAAUAAUUAAAUAGCAAGCAAGAUCUUUAAUGAUAAGGAUCAAAAAAAUUUAAAAGAAAAUUUUAAAAAAAAUAAAAAAAGUUAAAAAUUUUAGGUCCCACCGAGAAUUGAACUCGGGUUACUAGAUUCAGAGUCUAAUGUCCUAACCGCUAGACCAUGGGACCAGUUGAUGAUAGAGAGUUACGACGUGUUGUAUAUAAAUAUUCCGUAAAAUUAUAUUUUGUAUUUGAAUUUGAAUAUAUUUUUCGUUCUAAGACAUAAUAAAGCAAACAUGUUGAACAGGUUAUGGUUGAUCUGUUGGCACUUGGGGCUGUUCAUCUCCCUCACUUUCGGUCAAAUUGGUUUCAAGGGAAGGACUGAGGAGUACUUUGAUUCAUAAUAACUUAUGGUCUGUUAUUAAUUGCUUUUCCUUUUAUAUUAUUUUCUGCCUUGUAAUCUACCAUCUGUAACUCUGGUACCUUUUCCAUUGCACUAGAAAAAAUCGGUGUAAUAUCGCUUUCAUAAUGAAUCAAUGUAUAUUAGUAUUAUGGUUGUAUCUUGUGUGUAUUAGUUGCUUAUCAACGUCCCAAUUUUAGUUUUGCAAUUUUCCUAAAGGAUAAUCAUGAUUAUUAAGCCGGAAUAACUUUUUUUUUAAUGAAAUCUUAUCUAUUUAAUAUUUUACAAAACAAUAACAUUUCGUAAUUUAUAA